rnacentral:rRNA from 1 species
CCUACGGGAGGCAGCAGUGGGGAAUAUUGCACAAUGGGGGAAACCCUGAUGCAGCGACGCCGCGUGAGUGAAGAAGGAAUUCGUUAUGUAAAGCCCUAUCAGUAGGGAAGAAAAUGACGGUACCUGAGGACGAAGCCCCGGCUUACUACGUGCCAGCAGCCGCGGUAAUACGGAGGGGGCAAGCGUUAUCCGGAUUUAAUGGGGGUAAAGGGAGCGUCAGCGGCAGUGCAAGUCUGGAGUGAAAGGCGGGGGCUCAACCCCCGGACUGCCCUGGAAACGGGACGGCUGGAGUGCAGGAGAGGUAAGUGGAAUUCCUGGUGUAGCGGUGAAAUGCGUAGAUAUUAGGAAGAACACCGGUGGCGAAGGCGGCUUACUGGACUGUAACUGACGUUGAGGCACGAAAGCGUGGGGAGCGAACAGGAUUAGAUACCCCUGUAGUC